GUAACUUCGGGAAACCGGAGCUAAUACCGGAUAAUAUAUUGAACCGCAUGGUUCAAUAGUGAAAGACGGUUUUGCUGUCACUUAUAGAUGGAUCCGCGCCGCAUUAGCUAGUUGGUAAGGUAACGGCUUACCAAGGCAACGAUGCGUAGCCGACCUGAGAGGGUGAUCGGCCACACUGGAACUGAGACACGGUCCAG
rnacentral:rRNA from 1 species